GGUGGAAUGGGCUUUGGAGAUAUUCAUCUGUCCAAUUAGGCAUUGUUAGCCAAGCAUACAUGGCAUAUAUUAAAUUGCACAAAUCUCUGUUGACUCGAACUCUAAAGGCAAAUUACUUUCCCAAAUUCCAUUUUUUGCAUGUAGGGCUGCGACAUCGCAUAGCGAGUAUAGACCUUGCCGUAAAAGGGGGUAGAUGGAACUCGGGUUUAGUGAUCAGUUGUUUAUCCCAGAUGAUGCCCAAGUUAUCGAGCAAAUUACUCUAUAUAAUUCAUUGGUCCACAUGCCUUCUUUUGACAUUAUGAUAAGAAGGGCUUCUAUUCAGUUAAAAGUGGUUACAAGGUUGCUUAAACAGCUACUCUUACUGAUUCAUCCUCCUCAUCUCUUUUAAUGAGUAAAAUAUGAAAAACGGUGUGGUCUUUAGAAAUUCCAACCAAGGGAAAAAAAAAAAAAAAGAAUCCUUUGGAAGGUCCGUCUCAACACUCCCCUGACACGUGAGGUUCUUGCAAGUUGUCAAGCUUUACCCAACAGGAAGUAUCCAUUGUAUCGACGGUUUUAAAGGAAAGUUGAAACAUUUGGUCUUCUUGGAUCCCCAGUCAUCUCCUUUCUAAAUAUUCACUACUCUAAAUAUGCUUAUCUUUUUUUUUUUUUUUAGGAAAAUCAAAAUUAUCUAUUUUCGGGGCCUUAGGAUCUUCUUUCUUAUCUCAUCCUCAAUCUGGCAUCGGCAUGACUCGUUGAUAUUUGAUAGCAGAUGCAAUGGAUCCUUAUACCGUCAUUGAGGUUAAAUGGAUAACCCCUCCUCCAAGGAUUUUUAAGGUAAAUUCUAAUGUAGCUAUUGGAAGUGGGGAGAUGAGCUUUGGAGCUAUUGUUCGUGAUUCCAAUAGCUAGACGUUGAUGGAUAUGGAAAAUUUUCAGCCUUUCAUUGGUUUAGUGGAGCUUGUUGAGGUUAUUAUCCUUUAUAAAGAAUUAUUGAAGGCCUCUAUUUUUGCUUAGCGCAUGUGAUUCAUAAGCUUGUGUCUCAUGCCCGGAGAUCUCGAACAACGUCAAUUUGGUUAGAAAACUAUCCCACAUGGGUGAACUCUUUUUCAAUCACUCAAUGAAAUUUUUCUUAG